rnacentral:rRNA from 1 species
GACGAACGCUGGCGGCGUGCUUAACACAUGCAAGUCGAGCGAACAGGCGCUGCUUUUGUGGGGUGCUCGAGAGGCGCACGGGUGAGUGUAACGUGAGUAACCUGUACUUGACUUUGGGAUAAAUCCUGGAAAAUGGGGCUAAUACAGGGUAGAAGAUCCUGAUGCAUAGGGGGGAUUGGAAAAUUACGGCUGUUGGGGCUGGACUCGAGGGUUAUCCGCUGGUUGGUGGGGUAGUGACGGACAAAGCCUAUGACGGCUAGCCGGCAUGAGAGGGUGACCGGCCACAUUAGGACUAAGAUACGGACCAGACGCCUACGUGACGCAGCAGGGGGGAAUAUUGCACAAUGGGGGGAAGCCAGAGGCAGCAACGCCGCGUGCGUGAUGACGGCCUUCGGGGUAUAAACCGCUUUCGCCUGAGACGAAGCGUGAGUGACGGUAAUUGGUAAAGAAGCAACGGCUAACUACGUG